rnacentral:rRNA from 1 species
GAUGAACGCUAGCUACAGGCUUAACACAUGCAAGUCGAGGGGUAACGAGAGGAAAGCUUGCUUUCCUUGUCGACGACCGGCGCACGGGUGAGUAACGCGUAUCCAACCUGCCCCCAACUAAGGAAUAACCUUGCGAAAGUAAGACUAAUACCUUAUAAUUUCCUCAGAUGUCAUCUGACGAGGAAUAAAGAUUUAUCGGUUGUGGAUGGGGAUGCGUCUGAUUAGCUUGUUGGCGGGGUAACGGCCCACCAAGGCAACGAUCAGUAGGGGUUCUGAGAGGAAGGGCCCCCACAUUGGAACUUAGACACGGUCCAAACGCCUACGGGAGGCAGCAGUGAGGAAUAUUGGUCAAUGGGCGAAAGUCUGAACCAGCCAAGUAGCGUGCAGGAUGACGGCCCUAUGGGUUGUAAACUGCUUUUAUACAGGAAUAAAGUUAGCCACGUGUGGUUAUUUGUAGGUACUGUAUGAAUAAGGACCGGCUAAUUCCGUGCCAGCCGCCGCCGUAA